rnacentral:rRNA from 1 species
AGGAGAGUUUGAUCCUGGCUCAGGAUGAACGCUGGCGGCGUGCCUAACACAUGCAAGUCGAACGGAGUGUUCGGAGUUUACUUUGAACACUUAGUGGCGGACGGGUGAGUAAUGCGUGAGCAACCUGCCUUUCAGAGGGGGACAACAGUUGGAAACGACUGCUAAUACCGCAUAACAUACAGAGACGGCAUCGUUUUUGUAUCAAAGGAGCAAUCCGCUGAAAGAUGGGCUCACGUCUGAUUAGCUGGUUGGCGGGGUAACGGCCCACCAAGGCUUCGAUCAGUAGCCGGACUGAGAGGUUGAACGGCCACAUUGGGACUGAGAUACGGCCCAGACUCCUACGGGAGGCAGCAGUGGGGAAUAUUGGGCAAUGGGCGAAAGCCUGACCCAGCAACGCCGCGUGAAGGAAGAAGGUCCUCGGAUUGUAAACUUCUUUUAUGAGGGACGAAGGACGUGACGGUACCUCAUGAAUAAGCCACGGCUAACUACGUGCCAGCAGCCGCGGUAAUACGUAGGUGGCAAGCGUUAUCCGGAUUUACUGGGUGUAAAGGGCGCGUAGGCGGGGGUGCAAGUCAGGUGUGAAAUCUAUGGGCUUAACUCAUAAACUGCACUUGAAACUGUACCUCUUGAGUGCUGGAGAGGUAGACGGAAUUCCUUGUGUAGCGGUGAAAUGCGUAGAUAUAAGGAAGAACACCAGUGGCGAAGGCGGUCUACUGGACAGUAACUGACGCUGAGGCGCGAAAGCGUGGGGAGCAAACAGGAUUAGAUACCCUGGUAGUCCCCU